CUACGGGCGGCUGCAGUAAGGAAUAUUGCGCAAUGGAGGCAACUCUGACGCAGCCAUGCCGCGUGCAGGAAGAAGGCCUUAUGGGUCGUAAACUGCUUUUAUUUAGGAAUAAACCCCCGAACGUGUUCGGGGCUGAAGGUACUAAACGAAUAAGCACCGGCUAACUCCGUGCCAGCAGCCGCGGUAAUACGGAGGGUGCAAGCGUUAUCGGAUUUAUUGGGUUUGAAGGGUGCGCAGGCGGGCUAUUAAGUCAGUGGUGAAAUCCCGGGGCUCAACUCCGGAACUGCCAUUGAUACUGAUAGUCUUGAGUUUGGUUGAAGUGGGCGGAAUGUAGCAUGUAGCGGUGACAUGCAUAGAUAUGCUACAGAACACCAAUCGCGAAGGCAGCUCACUAAGCCAAAACUGACGCUCAUGCACGAAAGCGUGGGGAUCAAACAGGAUUAGAUACCCCGGUAGUC
rnacentral:rRNA from 1 species